UUGACCGUACUCAAACCCUAAACAGAGUCUCCAGGCCACCCGGCUCGAUGAGAGGACAGGAAGCCAAGGCUGGUGCUCAGGUCAGUGUCUACUGACCAUUCUCAGCAAACAGACCAGUGCUGCUGGAGGACAAGACGAAGAUGGUCUGAAGCUGUGUGUUCUGGUGACCCCUGCAGCCUGGCGCUGCACAGAGACCAGGUCACCACAUCAGGACCAACAGCUCCAGCACUUGAGGCUAAAACUGCAGUGAAGAAAGAGACCAACGGUAGCCAGGGACGAUGAUGCACACCUGCAAUCUCAGCACUCAGAAGGCUCCCAUGGCGCAGGAACGAGCAGACCACAAGGCCCGGAGCAAGGCCAGCGCAGCUGGGGCCUCCUCCGUUGCCUCACAGAGGACAGCUGGGGCCACCAGGCACAUGGCAGAGGGCAGCAGGGCAGUUCUGGGGACCAAAGCAGCCAUCCCGUCUCUGUUCCUGAGGACAUCGGGCUGGCGCCUGGCCUGAGGAGCACACAGGCUGCACUCUUCCCCAUGAGCACCUGCUGGUAACCAGGACAUGGGACAGGGUAGCAUCUGUCUACAUUCACCAUCCCAGGAUGAGGUACAAACCAAUAGCGAGGGCUGAACACCUCAGCGAGGGGCCCUGCAGAUGAUACCCCUCUGCCUCACAUGUGCACCCUUGCCAUAUGUACCCGUGUACACCCGUUCUGGGGUCCCCAACAAUUCCCUGAUAGCUGCCAACAGCCAGCCCUCGUGUCUGGCAAGCAAGGCACCAACCCCAACAGCUCCCAUGGCCUUCUCCCAUGACAGAAGCACCCCUGAAGAGAGGUGGGCCAACGGAUAUACAGGAAGGGAACAAGUUACUGGAAGGAGAGGUAUUUCCCAGCCACACCACGUCCUGCCUCCUGGCACCUGCAUCAUCCCCGGCUUCUUCAAAGCCUGGGUCCAACUGAGAUGCCCAGGUCUCUCCUGUGUGUGUGGACAGUGGUCAAAGCACCCCAAGAUCACGUCUGAGCACCAGAUGUGAACACCUAACCAUGCCAUGUGUACAGUCUCCGUCUGUGAGUCCAGGUCUCCCUGGAUGGGAACCAGAGUUCGCUACACUGCUGCACGCAUCGCUCUCCUGUGGCCCGUGGUGCUUUCCAUGACCGGAGUCACUGUUCUGGGCCUCUUACUGGUUGGAGCCUCGCUCUGAAAUGACACCAGGAAGAGCUAGCUGUCAACCCUGGUGUUGUGUGGAGGCACCAGGUGGGGCAGGAGGUGGGAGCAAAGGAGUGGGGGUUCCAGAGAGGAGCAGCCAAAGCUUGAAGGCCACCCUUCACAAUCCCUCCCCAAAGUUCCUGUUUCUGAUAUCGCUGCAGCCUACAGACUUUCAGAUAAGCCCCCAAACUUGUCCCAAAAGCUAAGAAUGCCUUCCCCUGAGAAAAACCACAGUCCAGUCAGCUCCCAAGUCCACGUGCCUAACUGGUACCUUCUGAGCUUUGUCGUCUGGCAGGCAGAAUGGUGACGAGCCUGCUGCCACAGGAGGAGUAGAGGGGGAGGGCUCAGGGGAAGGGCACAGAGAAGGGACAUCACCACAGGUGCCUGGGGUGGCGGGACCCGAGGAGAAGAUGGCGCCUGUGCAGCCUGGAGCACCCUGGAAGUAUCUAAGCCACGUGGGCAGCGAGGGGUGCUGAGGUCCCUGGGAGGAACAGGGACAACAAGGCUGAGGCCUGUGUCCAGGCAGAGAGCAAGGGGACACCCAAGGGCACCGGUGCAGUGGGAGGGCACUGAGCAGCCAGCGAAGGCCGGAUGCAGUUGGAUACAGCACAAGUCAGGGAGGUGGCAACAGCUGACUGGAGUGCUAUUUAUAAACAGCACUCAUCGGGGGCCAGAAAGGAAAAGGCAAAGGUGAAUGGUUAGGCCACUGAAAGAACAAGCCGGAUGUGGCACAGGCCACCUUCGAAGCCCAAGAACAGCAGAGGGCAGCCCCUCCCAGCUGCACAGCACAGGGAGCUCUGCUUACAGUUCUCUCACUGACAGCUACUGGGGUAAAGUGGUAUCACCCAUUCAGACAACCAGGCUUGGCACAGCUAGGGGCUCAGCCACGGCUCACAGCACACAGAAGCCACGCAGGUCAGGUGUCCACAAGAGGCUUCCCGACUGCGUCAUGCUUCCAAAAUGCUUCCUGAAAAACAGCACCCAGCUCAGGUGUGCUUUCUGCACAACAGCCAGAGGAGCGUGCCCAUCUCUUCUCAGGGCUGCCGAGGAAGAAGAAGAGCACAAGCUGGGGGCGCUGCAAAGGCCCCAGAUGGCAUCUGGUAUAGAGUAAGCUAGGUCCACCAGUCAGAGAACGAGUUAUAAACAGCACCAAGCAAAGGAGAAUCUGCUCACAGCUCUAGCACACGGUGCAGAUGGGGAGCCCAAGUAGGAGCACAUCCUCCUCAAGGGGCUAAGCUGGGGAGUGGGGACUCAGAGGAGGAAGUGCUCAACUGCCCAAGGGCCAAUCUGGUCAUGGGAGUGGGCUCUAGACACAAACAAGACUGAAGAAGAACAAACAGAAGCUAAGUGUGGUGCCACAGGCCUGUAAUCCCAGCACUCUGGGAGACCGAGGCAGGAGGACUGCACGUUAGAGCCCAGCAUGGGCAAUUCAGUGACUUAGCAAGAGCCUGCCUCAAAAUUAAGAAAUUUUUAGAAAGGGCUGAGGAUGUACCAGUCUGUGAAGGGCUUGGCUUGAAUCCCCAGUACCCCACCCCCAGUCAAAAGAAGAAAUAGAGGAAAAAAACAUUCAUAUAACACAGACACGCCAAGUGUCCUAAGGGCCACAAGAGAUCUAAGCAGUGUGGGGCAAGAGAACGGCAGAAGCUGGGCGCAGACCUCAGGUCUCUGGACUCAAGUUGAUAGCUCAUACACUCUCUCUCUCCCUCAACAAACCAGUGUAUAUAACAUCUGGUUUUUUCCUAAAACCAGCCAGAGUGGAUUUCUGUUGCUUAUAGCUGAAUGCCUUGGGCACACAGAGCCAUCGACAGCAGUAGCCUCAUAGCAAAGUAGGGUCAGAGCACCCUCCUUCCACAUCCUGUCUGACUGUAGGAGACCCUGGCAUGCAGACAGGGCAAAGAUUCCGAUGCCUGCUUUGCAAAUGGAAAAGCCAGAGUGGGGCUGGAGGUAAGCAUUCUGUGAGGUGGGCCCCGCAUCUCCCUAAGUCUCCUGACCACCCCAAAGGCCAGCAGCUGAGACAUCAGGCCAAGGCUCUCACCUCGUCUGAGGGUCACCUUCCCAUUCCUUCUAUCUCACCAUGGAGCUGAGCGUGAAAUGUCCUGGACCCCAACCUCGCACCCAUGUUUAGAAAGCCAAAUUCUUCACAAGUCAAUUUCCAGGCAAGUCAGAGGUUUACCAAGGAACAGAUGUGCUGAAGCUCCAGGGAGACAAGAAGCUAUUUUAACCUCGAAUGAGCUGCUGUUCAGACUGUCACAGUCUGCAAGGGAAAGCAAGAUGCUGUGUCUAGUGUGAUCUACAAGGGAUAAGAUGCUAAUGAGAACCAAUGCGAGAUACAAGUCAGGACCGGCACAUUUAUUUGUAGAGGGAGACAGUGCGCCAGCAAGCUCUGACGAUCCUCACCUACACCACUUCCUGGGAAAGUGUUUCUUUUUGACUCAUGCUCCCAGCUGAAAGGCUCACACGGCUGAGCCAUCAGGGGUCAAGUCUGGCUCUGCCAAGUGCCUGCCGUUGGACCCUGGGCGCUCUCUGGUUUCUCUGAGGCAAGUGCGUGACUCCACCUCCAGGGGGCACAGAGCAAGGUCUCCAUCAGCACCAACCAUGUGACAAUGACAAAGGCUGGCACUUGUGUGUCUUCAGGAUGAUGCCAUCUCACUGCCCAAAAGGGUCACAUGGCACCUGCACCACGCACACUUCACCACUGUGCUACACGCUGCACCAUGUGCCCGGAGGAGACCUCGCCCUUGCACCCUUGUCCACCUGCAUGCAGAGGACCUGAGUUCUAUCAGAGGCGGCUAGUCAGCGUGCAGGGGCUGGGGACAGGGCAGAGUUCAGGCCCCUUCUCCCCUCUGGCUCUGCUCCUGGUCCCUUCCUCACCCUGGCCCCACUCCGCCCCUCACAGGCUUUCCAGCACCAUGGCUGGAUCAGGUUCUGGGAGGAUGUGGCCCAGGGAACCAAGCCUAGCAGGGACCAAGAUCCAUCAGCCAAACCCAGAAGAGAAGCAGGGUACCUGAAUCCACACGAGGCUCAAAGUUUCCACCUCCAAGGACCAGCAGUUUGCACUGGCUCUCACUCCCAGAGCAGAAGGCACCUGCCUAGGUCAGGACUCCAGAAUUCAAAUGACUGCAAGAAUGCACCAGGGCCAGCACCACAACAGCAGAGGGCGGGGGCUGUCCUUGAAAGGGCAAAGGAAAGUGCACUUUCUCCAGACAGAGCCACACUUUAUAGCUCUUUACAGCCUGAAUCAAAACAGCCCUGGAGCCUGGAGCAUGGCUCUUACUCCCCACAGACGCCAUCUCCACAGCAACUACUUUUCCCCUGGAGCACUUUCAAGAGCAGAGCGCUGUCUCUGCUGCAGCCAGGUCAAGGCCUGAGCCCUGGCUGGCUUCACACCAGGCUCCACUCCACCGGGAAGGGUGGGGGUGGUGCCCGCGGGUGCCGAGGAGUGGGGGGCACAGCGUGGGUAAUGAGCUGGAAGGUGUAUGUGGGAUACAGGAGUGGGGUGUGCAUGGCAAUGCAGGUUGGGAAGCCAGGGUGCAGGGUGUACACCGGAGGUGUGGGUAGGGUCCUUCUACAGCCCAAACUGAGUGGGGAGGGGCACACAACUUCCCUAGAAACAAUGAAUUAAGGACUUGCAUGUCAACUCCGCAUUGAAAUUCUUAGGGCUUGAACCACAGCUCAGCCGCAUCCCAGUCCAGUCCAAAUGUCGGCGCUAUCAUGUUCCUGUCUCAGCCGCCCAGUCUGGUGACUUAAACAACGCUAUUAUAUGUUGUGGCUGGUGUUACCAAGGCCUCCCUGAGGAGGGACAGGAAACUGGAAAGCUAAGGAACCUUAAAAGCCAAGAACUGUUUAAAACAUACCGUGCCAGUUUGAAACACCGACUCAGAAGCAGCUGUCUCAGGGCAACCCAGAUUUCUAGCAAGAAUACCCAUCAGUCCAGAGUUCGGACUCGUCUGGAUGACAAAGCACAAGGCAGCCCAUGCCUGGUCCAGCUAGUCCUUGUCCUUCCCGAGGGACUAGGGUUAGUCCUUCCUCCACUGCACUCAGGAGGCUAAGGCAGGAAGAUCACCACAAGUUCAAGGGCAGCAUGGGAUACAUAGUGAGUUC